GCGGGCAUGGCGAAACGGCAGACGCACAGCACUAAGGAUGCUGUGGAUUAAAAUCCAUGGGGGUUCGAAUCCCCCUGCCCGCACCA
rnacentral:tRNA from 1 species